CCUCUCAGUGCGAACAUGAAUCUAAAGAGAAGCCUCUCAUCAGCUUAAACCCUGGAUGACUUUGUGACAGAUUACAGAGAACCUUGAAGCUCCCAGUAAAGAGCUGGUAUGUCGGAAGACUUACCAAAACAAGUCUUUUUAAAAAAUGUUUCUUUCAGCAACUUGUGAAAUUCCUCACCUUCAUCUUUUAUUCCCUGGGGAGCAGGCUCUGAGGAAGUGGACGGCACCAACCAACCAGCUUGCUUUGAAACUACAGACUAUUUGACUGAGAAAACUUGAAAGACAUAUUCUGUUUUUCUACUGACCUUGUGGUUCCCCCAUAUGAGCCUACCACCAUCGUGUCUGCAGCUAUGGAUUUUGGAUGCCACUUCCUCCUAUAUUUUUAACAGAUGGGCUCAUUUGUUAGUAUGCUUUUUCUCAUGCCUGCAUUUAAUUUCCCUCUUCCCCCAUCCUCAAAGGACCAACUUCAGACGCAAAAUUUCCUCUCCAGGGAUGUGCCACCCUCCCCAGCCCCACAGAGGCCGGAGAGCCUGAGACCUCACUCCAUCAUUAUGAGGAGCACACUGCAUGUUAGCCACGUCAUGCCAGGAAAGAACUUGCUGUCAAAUACAGAAAAUCCUUUCUGUGGAAAGUGGCAAUAGUUUCCCAUUGUUUUUGGUCUUACAUUCCCAAAAGUAUUGGUUGUUAUUUAGCAUUUAAAUUUAUUGCCAAUUGAUUGAUGAAUUAAAUGCUUCUCAC